rnacentral:rRNA from 2 species
UACCAGCACCCCGAGUGGUUGGGACGAUUAUUGGGCCUAAAGCAUCCGUAGCCGGUUCUGCAAGUCCUCCGUUAAAUCCACCUGCUCAACAGAUGGGCUGCGGGGGAUACCGCAGAGCUAGGAGGCGGGAGAGGCAAACGGUACUCAGUGGGUAGGGGUAAAAUCCAUUGAUCCACUGAAGACCACCAGUGGCGAAGGCGGUUUGCCAGAACGCGCUCGACGGUGAGGGAUGAAAGCUGGGGGAGCAAACCGG